rnacentral:tRNA from 1 species
GGAGGGUAUGCGAAUUGGCUAGCAACCUGACUCGAAAUCAGGCGCCGGGUAACCGGUUGGGGGUUCGAGUCCCCUGCCCUCCG